CACCACAGCGGUUUCUCGCUGCCGGGGUAUAUCGAUCGCACAGAUACAACGACUGAUUGCACAUAUGGAGCAAGCUCAUGUUCGCGGAGGAAGUCAAGGAAGCGAUCCUGAUCCCGCAGCUCGUGGCGGGUGUGGGCGAAGAGGAGAGGCCGCGUUAGGGCUCGAAAACGGGGCGAGGCUCGCGAGACGUUUUUCAGAUCCAGAGCCGUGGAUGAUGUGAUGCUGUGCGCGGGUACCUGACGGAGCUUCCUGGAAGACGGAGGAGGCCCUGGUGAGAGGUAGGAGAGGACCUGAUCGAGAAGCUCAUUGGGGAGAGUCUCUAUCGAAGCCACAGGUUGUGUCGAUGAUAGAACUCUGCUGGCCAUGUGGGGGGAAAUAUUAAAAGGGAUUGUUGGGGAUAUUCAUUCUAUUGGUGCAAGAUGGGUGCCUGGGGUAACAAAGUUGAUGUUGGUGAGGUCUGAACAUGGGUCAGGAAUUACGUCAAAGUGAGACUAACUAGUUAGUUGACUAUUUUAUUAGGCUCUGUCAGAACAGCUCAGAUCCGAGAAAACUGUAACUAUAGUUACAGACACUGAUUAUAUCAGUGUGAUUCUCAUCACUGAUAACUGAUAAAAUCUAUUGAAAGUUCUUAUUUAUUGAUAAAUUAAUUUAUACAAUCAACUCUCUAUCACCCACUCACUCAUUUAUAUAUCUAUAUACUUCCAUCAAAACCUUCGUUUUCACAAUUUCAUUUUAUAAUUGUAUAAUCUUGUAAGAAGAUAUAGAUAGUGUGAGGAGUGAUACCAUCGAUACAUAUCAUUAGCAGAUGCCAUUGCUAGAUAUCAUUGAUAGAUAGGCAGGUAGGCAGGCAGAUAGCUAGUAUUCUCUGAAUUGAAUAUUGCCCCAAUACUGAAUAUCAAAUUGAAUUGAAUUAACUAUGAUCUUCUUGAUAACUACAUGAUAAAAUGACAGUAUUUACAAGGAAGGGGAUGCUCGAUUAUCUUUCUCCUCUACAAGUACCGAUUGGAGAGGCGCCGACGAAGAAGCAAUACGAGCAACGAGCGUACCAACAGAUUUCACUCUUGUGGCACUCCACGUGUUGACAACGACUCGGAGCAUCCCUUUGUAAAAGUGGGUUUGGUUUACUGGACUGAUACCGGUUGCUGUUUUCUAUUCUUCACCUCCCGGGCAAAGGCCUCCGGAUCCGCUAACUUGAGAGGAAGAAGAUCCCUAGGCGGCUGCCAGAUUUGCUCCAUGCUUAUCUGAACGUUAUCCAUGCCACUCCAGACGUUGAGCAUACUAUGUCUUUCCUCUGGAGAAAGGGGAGAAAUUUCGAUCAUAGUCUUCAACUCAUCAAUGGAGGGGUGGGCAUAAUCUAUGACCUCGCCAGCUUCGUUGAAGACGCGCAAAAUGCCAUCGUUACCAAUGUGAUGGAAUCCGGCUGACUUAGUCCUCACGUUUUCUGGUAGGCCAUGGUAGUCCACGUUGUUAUUCUGCUUGUCUUGCCAAUAUAUGAAAUCAUGUGGCUAUCAUUGACGCAUACCUCAUGUUAACACUUCUGGAUGGGUGAGAAAGGACAGGGGGAUAUAUCACUCACCCGUCCAUUUUCUCGAUCAAGGACAUCAUUGGUAGCAACGCAAAGGGCGAGGCCAGCGAUGAAGCCCAGAGAGGUAAAGGAGAAAUAGUGCAUUGUUAUCGGAGGUUUUUAAAUCAACCAUGCAAUUGCAGGCAGGCCGAGGCUUGUAGAUUAUAAACCUCAAAGAAAGUAUCGUAUGUUGGUGAUCAACUCAAAAGAUCUGUAUAUAUCUUGCGUUCCAACUAGUUUUGGAGAGUAUUAUGAACAAGAUGAAUCCAGAUCAUAUAUGGCUUUGGCUUGUUAUCUAUCUGGCAAAACAUCGGGGUGACCAAGCUAGCUGAUAUACUAGCAUCCGUCCUGACCAUCUGAAGUACAAAAAGUGUGAAAAGUAUUGUUCAAGGCUCCAUGCAACACAAAAUAGAGAACUAUUACUAGUAAGAGUGCGGCAAUGUCAUUUUAUAAUUUUCAAAGAAAAAUAAAUUAGUGCUUGAAUAUUUAGCUCCAUGGCAGUAUUGAGCUUUAAAUGUUGAAUCAAAGCGGCACUCCUCCGUAGUAAUCAAGCCG
rnacentral:sRNA from 1 species